rnacentral:lncRNA from 1 species
AGAGUUAUUUCUCAAAAAGCAGAAUGAGCUGGAAGGAAUAUGCAAUAGAUCACAUAUGGAGGUUCCUUCGAGAUCCGAGAUAGAUAAUAUACUAAACCUUAUAAACUCUGGUAAGAGCAAGUCUAUGAUGAUCUGAUCACAUCAUCUUUGUUCUUACUGUUUAAAUACUCACCCAGACCACAAACUGACUUUGGAUGCCAAAAAGGAAACAUUGAUCAUGCCGAUCUCCUCAUGAGCAUGGACGAACAGAUAGCAAGAGCAGAAGAAGAAGCUUCAAGUAGAAAUAUUAUAAUGGAGAAGGUGGAAAAAUGGAUUUCAGCUAGGGAUGAAGAACGCUGGUUGGAAGAAUACAAUAGGGU